rnacentral:rRNA from 2 species
UACGUAGGGGGCAAGCGUUAUCCGGAAUCACUGGGCGUAAAGGGUGCGUAGGCGGUCUUACAAGUCAGGGGUGAAAGGCUACGGCUCAACCGUAGUAAGCCUUUGAAACUGUAGGACUUGAGUGCAGGAGAGGAAAGUGGAAUUCCUAGUGUAGCGGUGAAAUGCGUAGAUAUUAGGAGGAACACCAGUGGCGAAGGCGACUUUCUGGACUGUAACUGACGCUGAGGCACGAAAGUGUGGGGAGCAAACA